rnacentral:rRNA from 1 species
CAUGACGAACGCUGGCGGCGUGCUUAACACAUGCAAGUCGAACGGAAAGGCCCUGCUUUUGUGGGGUGCUCGAGUGGCGAACGGGUGAGUAACACGUGAGUAACCUGCCCUUGACUUUGGGAUAACUUCAGGAAACUGGGGCUAAUACCGGAUAGGAGCUCCUGCUGCAUGGUGGGGGUUGGAAAGUUUCGGCGGUUGGGGAUGGACUCGCGGCUUAUCAGCUUGUUGGUGGGGUAGUGGCUUACCAAGGCUUUGACGGGUAGCCGGCCUGAGAGGGUGACCGGCCACAUUGGGACUGAGAUACGGCCCAGACUCCUACGGGAGGCAGCAGUGGGGAAUAUUGCACAGUGGGCGGAAGCCUGAUGCAGCAACGCCGCGUGCGGGAUGACGGCCUUCGGGUUGUAAACCGCUUUCGCCUGUGACGAAGCGUGAGUGACGGUAAUGGGUAAAGAAGCACCGGCUAACUACGUGCCAGCAGCCGCGGUGAUACGUAGGGUGCGAGCGUUGUCCGGAUUUACUGGGCGUAAAGGGCUCGUAGGUGGUUGAUCGCGUCGGAAGUGUAAUCUUGGGGCUUAACCCUGAGCGUGCUUUCGAUACGGGUUGACUUGAGGAAGGUAGGGGAGAAUGGAAUUCCUGGUGGAGCGGUGGAAUGCGCAGAUAUCAGGAGGAACACCAGUGGCGAAAGCGGUUCUCUGGGCCUUUCCUGACGCUGAGGAGCGAAAGCGUGGGGAGCGAACAGGCUUAGAUACCCUGGUAGUCCACGCUGUAAACGGUGGGUACUAGGUGUGGGGUCCAUUCCACGGGUUCCGUGCCGUAGCUAACGCUUUAAGUACCCCGCCUGGGGAGUACGGCCGCAAGGCUAAAACUCAAAGGAAUUGACGGGGCCCCGCACAAGCGGCGGAGCAUGCGGAUUAAUUCGAUGCAACGCGUAGAACCUUACCUGGGUUUGACAUGGAUCGGGAGUGCUCAGAGAUGGGUGUGCCUCUUUUGGGGUCGGUUCACAGGUGGUGCAUGGCUGUCGUCAGCUCGUGUCGUGAGAUGUUGGGUUAAGUCCCGCAACGAGCGCAACCCUUGUUCACUGUUGCCAGCACGUUAUGGUGGGGACUCAGUGGAGACCGCCGGGGUCAACUCGGAGGAAGGUGGGGAUGACGUCAAGUCAUCAUGCCCCUUAUGUCCAGGGCUUCACGCAUGCUACAAUGGCUGGUACAGAGAGUGGCGAGCCUGUGAGGGUGAGCGAAUCUCGGAAAGCCGGUCUCAGUUCGGAUUGGGGUCUGCAACUCGACCUCAUGAAGUCGGAGUCGCUAGUAAUCGCAGAUCAGCAACGCUGCGGUGAAUACGUUCCCGGGGCUUGUACACACCGCCCGUCAAGUCAUGAAAGUUGGUAACACCCGAAGCCGGUGGCCUAACCGUUGUGGGGGAGCCGUCGAAGG